rnacentral:piRNA from 1 species
UGAGUAGAUAAUAACCAAAAUAACCCAA